ACACGCUGGCACCUCCACAGGGCCGACCCCUGGUCAGGGGGUCCUGGAUGGAGACGAGGCCCACCGCCUCAGUCCCCCAUGGUAUGAACAGGCCCUGUGGCCAUGAGACCCUCUCUCCCCUCACUCAGGCACCAUCAAGGGUUCGGCAAGGCCCUCCCUGCCCAUCGCUAUCUCCCAAGGCAGCACUCACCUGGGCCUCUUCCUGGAGGGGUCGUGGGAGUGUGUGGAAGGGAGGGGUCCAGCAGAAAGUAAUCUUCUCUUUCAGGACCCACUGACUGCAGGCGUCGGGCAAAGGCCCUUCCUAGUGUCCAGCAUAGAGAAGUCCCUGUCCACUGUCGCACUGGUAGAGAGGUCUGCCCAGACUCAGCUUCUCCGGAGAAACUGAAGGGCUUUAUGCCAGGAAGGGCCAGGCUCAGGCUUGUGUUCAUAGUGCUCGCCCUGCUUUGAGGAGAGCCGAUUGGGGAGGAGCGGAUCAAAGGUGGGAAGGCAGGAUCUGAGGACCCCCAGUGCCGUCCCCAGGUGUCCGUGGAGAACUCAUUCAGUACAGACAGCUUCUCCUCCCUCACUCCCAUCACGGAGCAGAUGAUCCCCCAGUUCUGACAGAAGGCGAAAUGGGACAUGAGGCGGGACUAGAACCCAGGUCUCCGCCCCUCGUCCCAGAGGUCCCCUCGGCCAUUGUCCAUUUAGUGCCCUCUGCACCCACUCCAGGGCCUGGCAUAGACGAGCUGCUCAACAGUGUGUUAGCAGCAAAAGAAGGUGUCACGGGAAGGUCUCAACGCAGCAGGUCUGGGGGCCGCCCGCCCAGCUGCCCUUCCUGUGGUGGGCAUUCUUUCCCAUCCCGCCCCACCCCAGUCCUCCCCACACCCAGGCAGGGAUUCCCAGGGCGCCCUGAGGCCUGGUUUAAAGUGGAAUGAGGAUCCCAUGCAUGCCCCCCUCGCUCCCUGGCCCGGGGCAGUGGAUCGCAUUUCACUAGGGAAGGCAGAUGGUCAGGCUGCCGGGCGCGCCUCCUGCAUGCUUGUCCCUCUCCCUGCCCAGCUAUGUGCGGCUCCUGUUACCUGGCCCUGGAAGACAGAAUGUGAUCUCCUUUCCCCCAGCCCUCCCCCACCUCCCCUUCCGCCCGGCUGGACUGAGAUCCCUGUUCUGGGAACCCUGGAGCCCCCACAGGGCUGAGCCGGGAGGCCCUCAGGGGUGCAGAGGGAACGGACCUCCCACCUGAGCCGAUGGCCAGGGAGUGGCUGAGCCUGGGUGAACCCAGGGCCUCGAGGGGCUCAGUCCACAUUUCAGUACCUGGUUUCUGUUUUUGUUUUGUUGUAAAGAGCAAGGUUCCAUCCCGACUUCAUCAUACAUUUAUUUAACAUUUUUGAGCCCCUAAUAUGUGAUCCGAGACACACGGCAGGGAACCAAAAGCGCAGGGCCCUGCCGCGGCGAGCUGGUGAUCUGGCGCUUUCUGUUACGCAAUCAAACCAGCCACUUGACUGGUGUUUCCUGACUGUGGCCAAGUUCUUCCUGUGGUCGUUUUUCUGAAGCUCAGCUUCGCUUGCAAGAUGCCUGCUGCUCAGCCUCUUUCUGCAGCCAUGGCUGUGACCUGCCCCUGUGACCCGACGACUCCCCGCCCCGUCCACCCUCUGGGCCUGGCCCCUGCCCCUCCUCCCAGGAAUCAGCCCUGACCAGCGCGCUCUCCUGUGGACAGAGCGUUCCAGGCCAGCUCUUGGAUGCCACCACUUGGAGGCAGAUGCUUGGGGCUCCUAAGCACAUGCUAACAAUUUGGGGACUGUCCCCUCAAGGCAAAGGGGUGGGCUAGUCCCUCCCUGGCCCUCACCCUUCACCUCUCCCACCCCGGCCUACCCUGACCAUUUAGGACUGUCCGCUCACUGCCGCCUUCCCUGGAAGUUCAUCCAUCACCACAUUCUGUGGAUUUCACGUCCCAGACUAGUCCCUUCUUCAUCUCCACCUCCACCACCCUGGCCCACUGCCCUGACAUGUCCCGAACGCAUGACUUCAGUGGCUCCUUAUGGUGCCCUCCCUUUUCCUCACAUCCCCACUCCUACAAUCCAUUGCCCAGAGCGAUGUUUUGAAACAAUUCGGGUCAUGCUACUUACCUGCUUAAUACUCUUCAGGGACUCCCUGUCCUUGGAAUAAAGUCCAAAGCCCUCCCCAGGGCCCAGCCCCUGCCCACCUCUCCUGCCCCAUCUCCUGAGGUGUUCCCCUCACCUUCUAUGGUCUAGCCACACCUUGCGCAGGGCCUUUGCACCUGCUGUCCCUUCUUCCUGGGGUGCCCUUCCCUCACCUCUUCACCUGCCUAACUCCUCUUUGCACUUCAGAUGCCAGCUCAAGUGUCACCUCUUCCAAGAAGCCCUCCCUGACCUCUCUGACACGUACCUUUCUUCAGAAGCACUGAUCCCAGAUAUAGUCGCCCUUUUACCUGUGUGACUGUUUUCUCCCCGCGUUUCCCUUCCUUGAGUCACCAAGUCCUUGGUGACUUGGCUCAUUUUGCUCCACACUGUGUCCCCAGCAUGCAGCACAGCACCAGCCUCCCAGGACAUGUUUGGUGCAUGAAUGAAUGAAUGAAUGAAUGAAUACGUGAAUGCACUCUGGGUCUCUGGUUUCCCUUCCCAGCCUCUUGAUGCUCUGACUUUCACAGCUGGGGGUGUGUGGAGUCGGGAACCCCCCACUGGUGGUGUCUGGGGGUUUCCUUUCUUCUUCCUGACCUCGGGCGUGGGGGCCUCGGCCUGGUCACCGUCACCCUGUGACAUCCUUCCUUUGCAGGCCCCUUCUUGCUGCACCCCAGCUUGGCAUGCCACCCUCCUCUUCCUUCUCCUCUUCCCCCUCCCCGCGCCGUGUGGGGGCCUCCGAGACAAGUGUGCAGACUGGCCCCCUCCUGCCCUCCCUCAGUGUAAAGAGCCCCAUUUUACAGGCUGGGAUGCCAAGGCUCAGAGGGGAAGCACCCUCAGUCCUGUGAGUCCCUCCACAGUCUCUCUGUGUCCCCCUCCGUUUCCUGCCUCUCAGCUAUUUCCUGGGCUGUCUUGGCUUUUUCUGUCUCUGGUUUUUCUUUUUUUCUCUUGCGUUCUCUUGUUAACGUUUCUGUUUCUGCUGAUACUUCUUGUUCUCAUUCUGCUGUGUUCAGUGUGCUGUGUGAGUGUGUAUGCGUGUGAGUGUGUGUGUGUGCAUGCGUGUGGGUGCGGGUCAGCCUCCGGCUGUGGACGUGUGAGCGCCCCAGGUGGGGGAGCACAUUGGGCUGAACAGGUGCAUCCUAAUUAGUGGGCCUUUGGGACCUGGGGCCCUGGGGAGGGCAGGGCUGUGGGAUUCUGCCCAGAGACUUGGGUACUGAGUGACCUCACACAGGCCCUGUUCCCCAAAGGGAAUCCCAGAGCAAGGUCCCAGGGACGGAGCCCGUCAGCUUCCUUCGUGGUUGACGCAUUGAUCUCACGCAUCUACCUCCCCAGGUCUCCGAGUCGACCAGAGCCUCUCCAGAUGGCAGUGCCCUGGGUCCUCUGGGGAUUGGCCACCUCCCCCAUCAGCUGCCACCCAGUCCCUCUAAAGCCCAGGAGGGAGCACACGCUGAGAGAAGUCACCCUGCCCUUCACAGUCAGAGGACAGCUCGAGACCGGUGGGCUGGUGGCUCCCCCAGAAUGGCAUCCGUGCCAGCCUGACUGGUCCCCGACCCCACAUGGGAACUUCUAGCCUGGAUCCCGUCCAGGUCUCUGCAGCAGAGCCUGCCUAGUUCCUCUGGGGUCCCAAACAGCUGAUGAGCUAAGACCUCUCGAGAAGGAGGGCCCCCGCCCUGGCCAGGGCAGCCACUCCCCAUCCUCGGCCUCCACCUGCCCCAGGGGACCCCAGAAUCUGAGGGGAUUGUGCACAGCAGGGGCGCGUGUUAAAUCCUCUGUGAGUCAGCUGGGCUCCCGUGACCAGGGAGCUGCAGGGAUGUCAUCAACCAGCUCCGGGGACAGUGUCAGGAGCCCACCAGGCAGCCCUGCAGUCACACACGGAGAAGGACACAUCCCCACGCCGAGGGGGAAAGCGUGGGAAAGCCCAGGGCCAGAGGGGAGGAGAGACAAAACGAGGCUGCAAAGAGAGGAAAGGACCUGCCCAGAGUCACACGGCACCCAGCACAAGAGCCAGACUUGAACCCGAGGCCCACAACUGCCGGUUCUUUGUGCUGCGCGGCGUGGAGGCUGGCGAAGAGCACGGGCUAUGGAUGUGACAGACCUGGGCUGCCCUUUCCUGGAGAUGUGACCUUGGACAAGCAUCUUAGCCUCCCUGAGCCUCGGUUUCCUCGUCUGUAUUGCGGGAUAAUUUUCUUAGGAUUCACAGUGUCUGACACAAGGCCUCCACAAUGUUGGCUAGUAUUACUGUCAUUAGAAAUGGCUAGCAAGGCCUCGUGCAGACCGGCCUCCAUCAGGGAGGGGAACCGCAGUGGCUCCACUUCCCAGUCCUGAAUUCAGAUUCAUGCCUGACAUGGUUAUGGGGACAGUGGCCCAGAAUACUUGAACCUGGCACUCUCCCCCAAUGCAGGACCCGUGGGUACCACAGAGGCGCAUAUAAGGUGCUGUGGGAGCAUAAGGAAGGGAGGAAAGGGAGAGGUUAAUCGGCUUGCUAUGGAGGGUGGGCUUCAGGCCUCCCAGGGGAGGUGGUGCCCAAGCUGGGCCUUGAAGGGUACAUAGGAGUCCCCUGACAGAGAAGUGAAUGAAGGGAACAGCAAGGGGAAUAGCACCCACAAAGGCAUGGAGGCACACAAGAGCAUGGCACUUCUGGAAGCCUUCAGGCAGCUGGAGUGGGGGUGGGGUGGGGGCAGGCAGAGAGAGGACACCUCAUCUCUCCUCCCUUCUGGGGUGCCCACAUUUUGACUGUGCAGCCAGGACCACAGCCUCUUGCAAGGGCAACACUUUACAGCUCACGUAGACUUUUUCUGUUGUUUCACAGAUGAGAGGCCUGCAGAGGGGGGUGGCCCCCCAGAGACCCACAGCUGGGCGGGUAAAACCUGAUGGGGACCCAGAUCUGCCGAUUCUCAGGCCAGGGACUGACUUUCAGACGUGGAUGGUGGGCACUGGGAGGAUUUCCUUGGAGAAAUGGGAUGCACAAGGCGAUGGUCGGGGGCCUCAGGAAGGGCUGGGGUGGGCCUGUGAGAGUGAUGGGCAGGGAUGACAGCCCAGGGGGCGGCUAAUGUGUGUUAUUUAUGGCUGUUUCUCUUCAGGGCCGCGAAGGUAAUUGAAUAAGUGAGCGUGAGCAGACACAGGCGCUCAUUUAAUUGUGGCAGAAAAUGAAGGUGCUUAUAGCUGGGGGCUGCCAGCCCAUUACCGCUGGCCCUGGUUUCUGCUGAGUCUGGCAAGCGGGGCCAGAGUGGCUAUCCAUCCUUGGCCUGCCCCUACCCUGUCCCCUGGCAGCCGUCCCCACCACCUCCAGGGCCUGGCAGGCUGGUGGUCAGGGAGUUCUCUGGGCAGCCUACGCCCCACGCCCCAUGCCCACAGGCUGCCACGGACCGUGAGGGGACUGGGAGGACCGGGAGGGCAGGGGGAUGCUGAGACCUGGCAGCAAGAGCAGGGGGUCAGAUCAUGACGUGUGGAGCAGCACCAUCAGCAGACACGUAUGAAGCCUUGUAUGUGCCAGGCCCUCUUCUAGCCACUGAUUGUCUGAACUUGGUUAAUCGCUCUGCGAGGGAAGUGCAAUUAUUAGCCCACAUUUCACAGAUGAGGAAACUGAGGCCCUGACUGCUGACUCCUUGCAUGGGAUCGAGAAGCCCCUGGGAGGCGCUGAGAUUCUGGGGGGCCCUAUCGGGGGGCAGCAGUGAUCCCCGUGAGGUGCUGAGAGGACCUGGCCCUGCGGGUCCCACAGGGCCCUGCGAGAUUUCUCUCUCACCUCUUGUCCUAUUUUAGCCUGCUGGCCACCACUGCCCUUCAGGAAGACCAGGGUAGACGCCUGGCCCCCAAGUUCCAAGGCAGGAGGAGCCCCCGCAGGCAAGGGCCGGCUCCGUUUCCAAAGCUCUUCCCUCUGGCUGUCGCCCCUCUGGCGCCCUUUCCCGCGCUGAGGGAGCAGAUACAGUCAGGCCUGGAACGUGAGAAGCCAGUCACCUGCCCAGGCCGGGGCAGCCAUAGUGGCCCCGGGACAGUGCCGGGACGGGCGGGGAGCAGGGGCGGGGCUGGUCGAGCCCAAAGGGCAGUGACCUCAGGCAAGUCCCUGGGCUUCCUGCAUUUCAUCUGACAAGCCUGGCUCCCUGCAGCUGUGCCUUCCGGUUUCUCACCAGUCCUGCAGGACGUCCGUGCUCCCUGCCAUGCUCACUGGGUGCCCCCACUGUGAGGAGCUGGAGAGACCUCAAGGGGGCCCCUCUUUCAUUCAUUCCUUCAUUUAUGUGGCACCUGCUGUGUACCAGCCAUGAAAUACUAUUUGAUUGUAAAAAUUACGUCCACGUGUUACUUGUAUAAAAAUGAAACUUACUGAAAAAGAAGGGAAGGGUAUUUUACCACAAUUGAAACAGAAAGAAGGAAAGGAAUUGAAGAGGCCCCAAGUAUAUUGGCCCCAUGCCCCGAUGUGGACCCCCCUUGCCCUGCUGAAGCCGCAGAGAAAUAGCUGCGGUGCAGGCGGAUCCUGCAGGCGGGGUGGACUGAGGACGCGGAGGGCCAAGGCUGCGGAAGGUCCAGGCAGAUGUUAACCUGAGAACUAAUCCUGCUAAUGGGUUCAUGGCUCCGCCUCUCAGAUGUCACAAGGUGCUUCAGCAGCUUCCCACAGACUCUCCGUAAAGAUUCACUGGCUGCAAGCUUCCACCCUGUGUCGGGAAGCACCCCCCCGGGGGACAGUGGAGACCGUUCCCCGCUGUCUUCCCCUAGGGGUCAGCUGGGCCCAGAAUCUUCUGUUUCCCGGAUUCCAUGUCACGCCCAGCUGUGACACAUCCUCGGCUCAUACCUGGACCCGGCUCCCCCGCCUCAGUCUGAGGCUGCAGCUGCUAUCUCUGAUGGAGGCCUCUGCUGGGCCAAAGAAGGAAGGAACGCCUCAUGCACCCUCUGCCCUAGGUGAGUGCCCCGACAGCCAACCAGAGGGCUGCACCAGGGCAGGCUGCAGGGGAGGUAUGAGGCUCUCCCCUCCCCACCCCGCUCCCCGCCCCAGUGCCCCCUUCUCUCCCAGAGCAGCUGUAUUGCACGCCCCUCCCUCUUCAGUCCUGGAGGAUGCAGAGAGAGAAGCACCAGCUUUGGGGUUCUCUGUUUGGCUGUGCCGGCUGGGACAAGGGUCUGGGGACAUGGCUGAGUCCCUGGGGCUCCCUGGACCCAGUCUCCUCAUCCUCAGUCUCCUGGCCUCAAGAGGCACCCUGUGGAGCUGAGGGAGAGCUGGGUCCUGGAGGUGGGGUGCAACAGACCCUGCCGGCCCCCACUGUGGGGAUCAGAAGGGGAAGAAGGCCUCACUCCUCAGACAGAGAGCUGGGGAGGCUCAGCACAGAUGGCUGGGUCAGCAGGCCCUAUCACUGGCCACCCGAGCGACUCUUCCGGGGGCUUGUACCGAGAACUUCGUCUCCUGGGGUGCCAGCACCCCUGUGCUGGCCUCCCCAGUCUGCCCAGAGCCCCCCUCAGGUCCACCAUGUGUUCACCCUCGGGGCUGCUCAUUGGAAGCCUCACAGCCCUCCUUUGCCCAUCACCCGCACCCAGCCAGCUGACCCUGCAGGACGUGCCUCUGCCCAGGCCAGAGCAAGGCAGCCUGCCCAAGCCUGACCUCGCCACUGUCCCCACAGCUGCUGGGAGGUGCGCGGGCCACCUCCCUUCCCUCCCGCUGUGCUGCUGACCCCUGCUGGCCAUCCUCACACACCCUCGGAGGCCUCCCCUCUGCACAGGCAUUCCUCCACAGGGCCCCGGUGCUUGAAUGCUUCUGGGGACAGGGGGCUCACCACUUCAUGCAGCAGCCUGCUCCAGGCAGAGAUGUGUCUGCUUCUUAGACAAGUUCUUUGUAAUCAGCUGAAGUCUGAAUACUGGUUACUUCCAUCUGUUUAUUUGUAGUCACACCCUCUGGAGUCACACAUUUUCAUCAUCAUCAUCAUCAGUACUGUGCAUGUACCAGGCACAGUGCAUUAUGUCAUUUAGUCCUUUCAACACCUGUGAGGUGGGUACCUGUAUCAUCCCCAUUAUAUAGAUGGGAAACCUGAGGUCCAGAGGAAGUGUGUCAUCUAAGUGUGUCACACAGCCAGGAAGUCGAAGAACCCGGGAAUCAAAUCCAGGCCCAUGCCCUUGCCAGCUAGGGAUGUGCCCACCCACCCCCACCGCCCUCUUGGCUCCCUCUCCAGCUCAUUCUUAUUUCCCCACCAGCCCCUGUUGCCCCACGUAAACUCCUACAUUCUCCCCCAGACCUUGCAGCUGGAUUAACUCCUCCUCCAGGAAGCCCUCCUGGGAAGCCAUAGGGUAGGGAGAGAGCCUUCCUCCCCAGGACAGGCUUUGGUCAAGGACCUGAUGCCCCCACUUGGUGCCUGGCAGGGCCCCAGGAGUCAGCAUUUGGAAAGCUGGCCUGGGCCUGGUCUCAUAAUGAUGCUUGGCAGGAUGGUGGGGCAUGUGGCGAUGGGGGCGACAUCUUCCUGCAGGCCUGUGGCCCAGCCCCGUGUACACCAGACUCCACUGGGUUCUCAGCAGUGCUGAGAGGGCAGGGCUGGGGAUGCAGACUUCACUGCCCCUCAGAGGACAAGGAGCAGGGCAGGGGCGUGGAGAGACUUCCUGGAUUCCGGCCACCUCCUGGAGCACCAGGCCCCCUGCAGGCUGAGAAGCUGAGUGGGUAUGCGAGGGGUGGGACGCAGGACAGUUCUGGUGACCAGGGGUCUGGAGUCUCCCCUGUUCUCUGGUGACCCCUGGCCACACGCCACAGCCACAAUGCCCUUGGCGAUGCUCAGGGACCCUCACCCCUGGCUGCCACCUCAAGCUCCUUUUAUGUCUCAAUCUAUUAGACCUCAGGGAGAGGUGCCACGUUCAGGAAGAUUCCCAGGGGUGAAAAACUCUGUCAAGCUUUAACCAAAAGCUUGCCUAGUGUUGCACCAUCUCAGUGUAGGGCAAGACUUUCAAACUCAUGUAGUUCCCUCCAUCUAUUCCAUGCCAGCAUCUCUGCUGAGUGCCCAUGCAGCCUCUCCUGACAUACCUCCAGUGACGGGAGGCUCGUUACCUCUCAAGGCAGCCCAAGGCUCAAAAUAGUGAAGGUCUUCCUUCUGCUGCAGAGCUGAGGUUUGUCUGUCUGAGGCUUCCGCUCACAAGGCCCAGCCCCACUCCCUCGGGAGUCCUCAGAACCAACCUAACUCUUCUCCUUAUGAUGUUUGGAACAAGUGGCCAUCUUCCUGUUGAAUCUUCUCCCCAGCCAAAGUGGUAAAAGACCCCUUGAAGAAACUGGGAGGUGCCCACCAGAGAGGAGAGAGGCAUUUUCAGCUGAGCUGGUGAAAUUCUGAGCCCAGCCCUGUCAGCUCUGAGUAGAGAGUGGAGAGUUCUUGGCAGAAUCCACCUGUGUUAGGCCCAAGCCUGACUCUUGCUGGGACGUGUGUAAAGGGAAAGGCUGCCUGGGGGCACCCUAGCCAUAGGAAAGGAGAGAGAGGCAUGGGGCCUGCUUCCCAGGGGGACGGCAUGCAGGACGGCCAGGCUUGAGCUGCCCAGAGGUCCUUGCCCAACAGGACAGGCUGACCGUAUGGGGCUCUGUGCACUCAGGUCUGGGGUGUGGGUGUUUCACUUCCUUCCUCCUGGGAGCUGCUGUUCCUCCAUUCCUCCUAGGUGGAGGCAGGGCACAAAUAAACAAACAAGAUGAAAUAAACACGUUUGUCCCUGUUAAGUUUCAUCUCGUUAGAUCAACCCCAUCGCUCCAGCCUGUCAGCUUCUCUUUAGAUCCCAGCUCUGUCAUCUGGCGGAUUUGCCAUCGUUCCCCCAGCUGUGUGGCAUUUGCAAAUUUGAUAAAGUACGUGGAGCGUGUUUGUCAGAGGAAGCUGCCAC